CACAGGGAGGUAGUGACAAGAAAUAACAAUACAGGGCAUCCAUGUCUUGUAAUUGGAAUGAAUAGAAUUUAAAUCCCUUUAUGAGUAUCGAUUGGAGGGCAAGUCUGGUGCCAGCAGCCGCGGUAAUUCCAGCUCCAAUAGCGUAUAUUAAAGUUGUUGCGGUUAAAAAGCUCGUAGUUGGAUUUCUGCUGAGGACGACCGGUCCGCCCUCUGGGUGAGUAUCUGGCUCGGCCUUGGCAUCUUCUUGGGGAACGUAACUGCACUUGACUGUGUGGUGCGGUAUCCAGGACUUUUACUUUGAGGAAAUUAGAGUGUUUCAAGCAGGCUUACGCCUUGAAUACAUUAGCAUGGAAUAAUAAGAUAGGACCUUGGUUCUAUUUUGUUGGUUUCUAGAGCUGAGGUAAUGAUUAAUAGGGAUAGU
rnacentral:rRNA from 1 species